CUGUGCAAAGGUAGCAUAAUCAUUAGCUUUUUAAUUGAAGGCUUGUAUGAAGGGUCUGACAAAGAAAAAGCUGUCUUUAGUUUUAUUUUUUGAAUUUAACUUUUAAGUGAAAAGGCUUAAAUAUGUUUAAGGGACGAUAAGACCCUAUAAAUCUUUAUAUUAAGUUUAUUUUCUUGAAUUUAAAUGAUUUGUCUAGAUUUUGUCAAGUAAAAAUAAUAAAUAUUUUGUUGGGGUGAUGAGAAUAUAAAAAUAACUGUUCUAGAAAAAAAACAGAGUUGUUUGUUUAUUUAUAAUAGAUCCUUUUUAAAGAUUAAGAGUUUAAGUUACUUUAGGGAUAACAGCGUUAUUUUUUUUGAGAGUUCUUAUCGAAAAAAAAGUUUGCGACCUCGAUGUUGAAUUAAAAUAUCUUUAUGGUGUAGUAGUUAUAGAAGAGAGUCUGUUCGACUUUUAAAUUUUU
rnacentral:rRNA from 1 species